CAAGCUCUCAAUCCCAGGGUCUCCAUUAGAGAAGUUGCUUUGAGCUAAAACCCACUGAAACCAGCUUCUUCUCUCAGGGGCCCAGUCUGGAUCCGCACAGAGCAAGGUGCUGAGUGGAGCCGGGGGCUUCGUGCUGGGGCUGCUCUUCCUCGGGGCGGGGCUGCUCAUCUACUUCAGGGCUCAGAAAGGACACUCUGGACUUCAGCCCACAGGACUCCUGAGCUGAGGUGGCCAUGGUGACAGGAGCAGGAGAGAACCUUCUGUCCAGCCCCUUCACCGCCUGAAGAGGUUUCCUGCUGGGCUCUUACUCCACAAGGAGAGCCGCCUGGGGCUCUGGCUGAGUCCUGGUUCCUGACCCCCAAGCAGCUCCUCCCUGCUGGUUCCUGCCCGCCCUGGACCUGGAGGCCCCAGUGUUGGCUGCAGAGCCUUAGCUCCAUCCCUCCCUGUCCCUGUGUGUUCAACCCUCGCUGUCUUCUGUGCACCUUAGCUCACCUCUUCCCACAUUUCUUUACAAAAUGUUUCUCAAUUAAAUAUGGAGUGAAA